rnacentral:rRNA from 1 species
GACGAACGCUGGCGGCGUGCCUAAUACAUGCAAGUUGAGCGCUGAAGGUUGGUACUUGUACCGACUGGAUGAGCAGCGAACGGGUGAGUAACGCGUGGGGAAUCUGCCUUUGAGCGGGGGACAACAUUUGGAAACGAAUGCUAAUACCGCAUAAAAACUUUAAACACAAGUUUUAAGUUUGAAAGAUGCAAUUGCAUCACUCAAAGAUGAUCCCGCGUUGUAUUAGCUAGUUGGUGAGGUAAAGGCUCACCAAGGCGAUGAUACAUAGCCGACCUGAGAGGGUGAUCGGCCACAUUGGGACUGAGACACGGCCCAAACUCCUACGGGAGGCAGCAGUAGGGAAUCUUCGGCAAUAGACGAAAGUCUGACCGAGCAACGCCGCGUGAGUGAAGAAGGUUUUCGGAUCGUAAAACUCUGUUGGUAGAGAAGAACGUUGGUGAGAGUGGAAAGCUCAUCAAGUGACGGUAACUACCCAGAAAGGGACGGCUAACUACAUG